rnacentral:rRNA from 1 species
CAAUAGCGUAUAUUAAAGUUGUUGCGGUUAAAAAGCUCGUAGUUGGAUUUCUGCUGAGAACGACCGGUCCGCCCUUUGGGUGUGUAUCUGGCUCUUUCUUGGCAUCUUCUUGGUGAACGUUGCUGCACUUGACUGUGUGGAGCGCUACCCAGGACUUUUACUUUGAGGAAAUUAGAGUGUUUCAAGCAGGCAUACGCCUUGAAUACAUUAGCAUGGAAUAAUAAGAUAGGACCUCGGUUCUAUUUUGUUGGUUUCUAGAGCUGAGGUAAUGAUUAAUAGGGAUAGUUGGGGGCAUCCGUAUUUAGCUGUCAGAGGUGAGAUUCUUGGAUUUGUUAAAGACGGACUACUGCGAAAGCAUUUGCCAAGGAUGUUUUCAUUG